rnacentral:rRNA from 1 species
CCCUUAGAUGUCCUGGGCCGCACGCGCGUUACACUGAUGCAUUCAACGAGCUUAUAACCUUGGCCGAGAGGCCUGGACAAUCUUGUUAACGUGCAUCGUGAUAGGGAUAGAUUAUUGAAAUUAUUAAUCUUGAACGAGGAAUUCCUAGUAAACGCAGAUCAUCAAUCUGCAUUGAUUACGUCCCCGCCCUUUGUACACACCGCCCGUCGCACCUACCGAUUGGAUGGUCCGGUGAAGCCUCGGGAUUGUGGUUCUUGCCGCUUUAUUGUGGCGUGACCGCGAGAACUUGUCUAAACCUUAUCAUCUAGAGGAAGGUGAAGUCGUAACA